rnacentral:tRNA from 4 species
GGGCAGGUGGUAGAGCGGUCAAUUACACCACGCUGUAAACGUGGCGCCUUCGGGCUACGGGGGUUCGAAUCCCUCCCUGCCCACCC